UUCUUACUCCCUCCGAUCCAUAUUAAUUGUCUCAAAUUUGCCCAAAUAUGGAUGUAUCUAAGCCUAAAAAGUGUCUAGAUACAUGUAAUAUUUAGACAAUUAAUAUGGAUCGGAGGGAGUACGUU
rfam:Brachypodium distachyon strain Bd21 chromosome 1, whole genome shotgun sequence.